GAUGAACGCUAGCGGGAGGCCUAACACAUGCAAGCCGAGCGGUAUUGUUUCUUCGGAAAUGAGAGAGCGGCGUACGGGUGCGUAACACGUGUGCAACCUGCCUUUAUCUGGGGGAUAGCCUUUCGAAAGGAAGAUUAAUACUCCAUAAUAUAUUGAACGGCAUCGUUUAAUAUUGAAAGCUCCGGCGGAUAGAGAUGGGCACGUGCAAGAUUAGCUAGUUGGUGAGGUAACGGCUCACCAAGGCGAUGAUCUUUAGGGGGCCUGAGAGAGUGAGCCCCCACACUGGUACUGAGACACGGACCAGACUCCUACGGGAGGCAGCAGUGAGGAAUAUUGGUCAAUGGGUGCAAGCCUGAACCAGCCAUCCCGCGUGAAGGACGACUGCCCUAUGGGUUGUAAACUUCUUUUGUAUAGGGAUAAACCUACCCUCGUGAGGGUAGCUGAAGGUACUAUACGAAUAAGCACCAGCUAACUCCGUGCCAGCCGCCGCGGUAA
rnacentral:rRNA from 1 species